UUACAGUGAGUUACAUUGUUUGUCCAUCGAAAACCUGUUUAAAUAGCCGAAAAUUCCUUCACAUUGCAUAAUAUGGAUAAUAGUGUUCGCAACUGUCAUUCAAUCGUUUACUGUUUUUUAAUUACUUGUCUUUACUACCUUGAUAAUCGAUCGGUAUCACCGAUUAAAAAUAUCAUUUUUUUUUUUUUUUUUUUUAAACUUAACUUUGGGGAAGAGGGAUAUUUGAUAAUAUCUAAUCCAAUUUAUAGGUAAUAGUCUUGAAAAGGUGGAGAACCACUGCUAUAUCGUUUUAAAACCGUUGAUAAAACAAUAAGCACGGACAUAGUUUUGAAAUAUUUAAAUAUUUAUGAAACGCUCAAUACAGACUCAAUUCAAAUUUUAAAAUAACAAAAAUAAUUGAAACUAAUUUCAUGUUAAUAUUUAAUUUUAUAGUAUCAGAUUUCAUCUGUACCUACAUUUUCAAGGUGCUUAAGGGGUGUUUUGUCUCUCUUGGAACACGCAUAGCGAAAGUCAACACAAUUAUUUAAGUUAUAUUUUGGUUUCAUGUACGUAUAAUAAUAAUUUAAUA